CUGGGGAUGAUACAGAGGCCCAAGGGAGAUAUGACUCAACCCUGGAGGAUGCCUUGCACUGAGGCAGGGUUCCAUAUUCCUGAAGCCCAUUUAGUGAAGAGUAAGGAUGUGAAGAGCUGUGUGGCCUUGGGCAUUGUCUCUCCCCUCUCUGGGCCUUUUUUUCCUCAUCUUUCAAGGAGGCUGGAUGAUGCCACCUUGAAUAUCCGAGCAUGCAUGAUACAUAUUAAUGAAUUCCAGUCCAAGUGAUUUCAAGCAAAUGCUGUGGGCUUUCUCAGCAUUUUCCCUUCUCUUCCUUCCUAGGAAGCCUGGAAUCCCCCUAUCCCUUUCUCUGCUUGGGUGUAUGACCUCCGGAUACUUUCCUGCUCCUAGAGGCACUCUCUCGAAUCUCUGCCCCUGCCCUUCCCUCCCAGGGCCAGACCGCGUCCCCCUUCUCCGGCCCCCACCUGGUUCUGGGCCUCUUCAGCUCUCCCCUGGAGAGCUUUCCCUGCCUCACACCCGUCUCAGGAUCAGGCAUUCUCAGAGUUAGAAGCCACCCGCCACAUCGUCCGGGCCAAGCCUUUGCUUGAAGCCCUUCAGUGAUGCUGCUAAGCCUCCCGCUGGCUCCCAGGCAGUCCGCCCUCCUGGAGACAUUGCCACGUGGUAGGCAGAUUUUCCCCACGUCCAACCUGUCCAACUCCUCUGUAUUUCCUAUCCAAUGGUCUUGCCGGAAGUCUUCCCCCUUUUGUGUCUUAGGGACCCCUACUCAGAAUUAUAUUUUUUAAUGCGUAAAAUAAACGCACAGGAUUGCCAAGAAAACUGAUCA
rnacentral:lncRNA from 1 species